UACGAAGGGGGCUAGCGUUGCUCGGAAUCACUGGGCGUAAAGGGUGCGUAGGCGGGUCUUAAGUCAGGGGUGAAAUCCUGGAGCUCAACUCCAGAACUGCCUUUGAUACUGAAGAUCUUGAGUUCGGGAGAGGUGAGUGGAACUGCGAGUGUAGAGGUGAAAUUCGUAGAUAUUCGCAAGAACACCAGUGGCGAAGGCGGCUCACUGGCCCGAUACUGGACGCUGAGGCACGAAAGCGUGGGA
rnacentral:rRNA from 1 species